rnacentral:rRNA from 1 species
GACGAACGCUGGCGGCGUGCUUAACACAUGCAAGUCGAACGGACAGGCCCUGCUUUUGCUGGUUGCUCGUGUGGCGCACGGGUGAGUAACACGUGAGUAACAUGCCCCUGUCUUUGGGAUAACUUCAGGAAACUGGGGCUAAUACCGGAUAGGAGCUCCUGCUGCAUGGUGGGGGUUGGAAAGUUUCGGCGGUUGUGGAUGGACUCGAGGCUUAUCAGCUUGUUGGUGGGGUAGUGGCUUACCAAGGCUUUGACGGGUAGCCGGCCUGAGAGGGUGACCGGCCACAUGGGUACUGAGAUACGGCCCAGACGCCUACGUGAGGCAGUAGUGGGGAAUAUUGCAGAAUGGGCGGAAGCCAGAUGCAGCAACACCGCGUGCGGGAUGACGUCCUUCGGGUUAUAAACCGCUUUCUCCGGUGACAAAGCGUGAGUGACGGUAAUGGGUAAAGAAGCACCGGCUAACUACGUG